rnacentral:rRNA from 1 species
AUGAGGUUAUGGUCAAGCGCGGAUGCAGACUCUCGGCAUUUCCGAGAGAGCAUUCGGUUCUUCAACGGGCACUUUGCCUUCACUACCCUUGGCGUCAGCCUAGACAACAACUACACAAACAUGAAGUCCGGGGUGUACACGUUUCGGGCACAUGGCACUAUGUACCACAAGGUGCACUCGUUCGGUCCAAGAUCUCGCCCUGAACAUCUGCAGUUCCGUUCAACCAAAACACCUUACAAGGGAAGGAUUCAUACCCGGUUUAUCGACGGCGAGACGAUGGUCGUCAGGCUAAGGUCCGUCGUCAAAUGUUGGAUAACAGAUGGGUCGUGCCUUACAACCCUUAUCUGUUGCGGAUGUUCAACUGCCACAUAA